ensembl:lncRNA
CAAAUACUUACCUACCUUUGUUGUGCAGACUGAAUAGAGGCAGAUUCUUCAGUUGCUUCAAAGGGUUAAAGCAUUAACUCCUUGAAUAACCAACUGAGCAGCAUCAUAAACAUCUGUCACCUCAUCAAGAGCCAAAGAAAACCACUCCAAAUCUUCUGCCUUGCUCUUUAAUUGACUAUUGAUAUUGCUCUAAAUGUUCUGAACUCUUCAAGCAACUGCUCUUGCUAAAAUGGGACGCACAAAGAACUGGAUGGCCAACCUUCAGAAUGCUGAUCAGUGGCCUGGCUGUUGUCCCCACAGUAGUCUGCAAAAUCGAUCCCAGGAGUUUUAUCAAUGGCUUGAAUAGUAAUGGCAUCGGUAAUGUACUAAGCCAGGCGUCAAUGUCAAGAAGGUGAGAUGCUAGCUAAAAUCUUUCCACAGACAAAUCGGAGCUCAAAAAGAUCUGAAUAAACACACCAAGGAGAUCACUGAGGGUGCCUUGGUCUGAUGCAUAAGAUGAGGGGAGCUCGGUACAUGUGACAAGAAUUGGGGCUUUUUGUUGACUGAA